rnacentral:lncRNA from 1 species
CCCCCAGAGACCAGAAACUUUAUCGUACCAAUAUUUUCCUGGGCUUAACUUUUUUGGAGGGUUUGGACAGUUUUGCAAUGUAAGCAGCUCCUCAUAACAAAGUGGCUUCCCAUUCACACAAAUAUAUUCAGGUGGAAGCUGAUUCACUUCACAAUACCUCUCUGCCUUCAUUAUCUGUCGAACCUCCAAUUCAUUAAGCAACCACUUGAGCAUCCUAGAACACUUCCCCAAAUUCCGUCUUUUCGACUCAUCAAUGGGAAAUCCAAUGCAAGUAACACACUUCCUACCUUCUGGCAUGGAGCCCAUUGCUCUAAGCACACAAUUACCACAAUACUUUGCAUCACAAACUAAACAAACCUCCUUCUCUGUGAACCUAUUUCCCUUGAAACACCGAUAGCAAGACCCUUUCUUUCCCUUUGUAAGCGGUUCUCUUUUAACCGGUUUAGUCACAUUCUCCUCCUCCUCCUCCACAACAAAAUCAUCACUCAAAGCAUAAUCAUCAUCAUCAGAACCAUCCACAUCGAAAGUCACAGCAGGGAAUCGUUUAACAUCAGAACCCAGUUCAUUGCCAGAAUCCUCCUCAUGCUUCAAAGAAGAAACACGAGUGGAUGGAUACUCUAAACUCAACACAGACUCAGUUGAACCCCAAUCUUGUUGGUUAUUCAAUUCAUUGAAAUCUAAACUCUCCUUCCCACUAUUUGAAACCCUAAACGCAUCUGAUCUUCUCUCUAAACUAUCAGAAAACUCAACGUUGCUCGAUUCAAUGAGAACGGUAGUGGAAGUGUCGGCGACAUCGGAAAACUCACCGGAUGCGUAAUUAGCGUUGGAGAAAUCACUAAACUCACAAGAGAACUGCAUAAACAAAACAGGAUUCUUUACAACUAAUAUUUAGAUUGAGUGUUUUAAGAAUUUAUUGCAUAUGUUAAUUUUUAACCUGCAACAUCCGAAGCUCUACUUUUGUUAUUUCCCGACCAUUAAUGAAAACCUGGGUGUUUCCAUUGCUAGCAUCCGGUUCGAUGGGCCCUCCAACAUUUAAAUGAGCACUGAUAAUACUUGAAGGCUUCUGCCCUUCCUGUGAAAUAGCAAACCAAUCAGCAUCCAUGGUAAUUAAAACUAAACAUCAUGCUAAAGUGGUCGAAGGAAUCAAGAAAAGGUAAGUUUGUAUUGGGAAAAUUAAAUGUACAACUUCUCAAAAUAGUAAAUAGGCAUCUUCAGAAUAAAAACAUACAGUCUUUAAUUUCUUAACAGACACUGGUUAACAUUUUCCAAAACUUAAAACAUCAAAAGCACCCAAAUUACAAAUGCAUGGAGAUAAAAAAAUACCUUCCCCCAGAGACCAGAAACUUUAUCGUACCAAUAUUUUCCUGGGCUUAACUUUUUUGGAGGGUUUGGACAGUUUUGCAAUGUAAGCAGCUCCUCAUAACAAAGUGGCUUCCCAUUCACACAAAUAUAUUCAGGUGGAAGCUGAUUCACUUCACAAUACCUCUCUGCCUUCAUUAUCUGUCGAACCUCCAAUUCAUUAAGCAACCACUUGAGCAUCCUAGAAC